rnacentral:rRNA from 1 species
GACGUAGGGCGCGAGCGUUGUCCGGAUUUAUUGGGCGUAAAGCGCGCGCAGGCGGAUCAGUAAGUCAGGUGUGAAAUUUCGAGGCUCAACCUCGAGACUGCGCCUGAAACUACUAGUCUAGAAUGUCGGAGGGGGCAGGGGAAUUUCACGUGUAGGGGUAAAAUCCGUAGAGAUGUGAAGGAACACCGGAGGCGAAGGCGCCUGCCUGGACGACUAUUGACGCUGAGGCGCGAAAGCGUGGGGAGCAAACAGG